rnacentral:rRNA from 1 species
AUUGAACGCUGGCGGCAGGCCUAACACAUGCAAGUCGAGCGAGCGGCGGACGGGUGAGUAAUGUCUGGGAAACUGCCUGAUGGAGUGGGAUAACUACUGGAAACGGUAGCUAAUACCGCAUACCAUCAGAUGUGCCCAGAUGGGCUUAGCUAGUAGGUGGGGUAAUGGCUCACCUAGGCGACGAGCCCUAGCUGGUCUGAGAGGAUGACCAGGCACACUGGAACUGAGACACGGGCCAGACGCCAAAGGGAGGCAGCAGUGGGGAAUAUUGCACAAUGGGGGCAAGCCUGAUACAGCCAUGCCGGGUGAGUGAAGAAGGCCUUCGGGUUGUAAAGCACUUUCAGCGGGGAGGCGUUACCCGCAGAAGAAGCACCGGCUAACUCCGUGCCAGCCGCCGCGGUAAUUC